CAGACACAGCCUGCAGCAUCAGAAACUGGUGUAAUUGAUGUGGAGCCAGAAGUCAGAGGGUUUUCAACACCAAGAAGUGAAGAAGGUGGUAUUAGUGAUGAGAGUGGUGAAGAUACUGGAGCACCAGUGUUGGAGACUGCCCAUGUUUACUCAGUUGACAAGCAGCAGGUAGCCAUUGUGCAAGUGGUUGGUGCUGGUGGUGGUGGCAGUGCUGCUGUUGCUACUACUACUACUGCUACUCCUCCUGUUACUACUGCUGCUGCUGUUCCAGUAGGAGAUGUCAGCGACAGCAGUGAGAAACCAGGAAAACCUGCCAAGCCAGAGAAGCCACCAAAUAUUCUCCCCCGACCCCCAUCACUCACCUCAGACCAGUUGGAAUGUGUAGGAUCACUCAGUUCAGCCUCAGGUCAGACAAAUAGAGGAAGUUGCAGUUUUCCCCUUUGAAAUUAACAGUUAAGUCACAAG